CCUACGGGAGGCAGCAGUGGGGAAUUUUGGACAAUGGGCGCAAGCCUGAUCCAGCAAUGCCGCGUGAGUGAAGAAGGCCUUCGGGUUGUAAAGCUCUUUUGUCAGGGAAGAAACGGUGGGGGCUAAUAUCUCCUACUAAUGACGGUACCUGAAGAAUAAGCACCGGCUAACUACGUGCCAGCAGCCGCGGUAAUACGUAGGGUGCAAGCGUUAAUCGGAAUUACUGGGCGUAAAGCGUGCGCAGGCGGUUUUGUAAGUCUGUCGUGAAAGCCCCGGGCUCAACCUGGGAAUUGCGAUGGAGACUGCAAGGCUUGAAUCUGGCAGAGGGGGGUAGAAUUCCACGUGUAGCAGUGAAAUGCGUAGAGAUGUGGAGGAACACCGAUGGCGAAGGCAGCCCCCUGGGUCAAGAUUGACGCUCAUGCACGAAAGCGUGGGGAGCAAACAGGAUUAGAUACCCUGGUAGUCCACGCCCUAAACGAUGUCUACUAGUUGUCGGGUUUUAAUUAACUUGGUAACGCAGCUAACGCGUGAAGUAGCCGCCUGGGGAGUACGGUCGCAAGAUUAAAACUCAAAGGAAUUGGAGGCGUGAGACGUGCCGACGGACGACGACGAGGGAGGUUAGG
rnacentral:rRNA from 1 species